ACUGGAUGGAUUCCUGGAAUCAUUGUUGGAGCCAUUGUUGUGACUCUCCUUGUUGUUGCUGCUGUUCUGUUUGUUCUAAUGAAGUCAGGGCGUUUAAGAUGUGCUGAUGCUAAGAACUCCACGAUCAAUGGCACUACUAAAGACGCUGCUGUGGGUCGCCCCCUGGUGUCCACAGGUUGUUAACACAUGCUUUAUUCCAUACAUACAUUUUCACUGAACAAGAAAUUAUAUUUUUAAGUUUCAGAUGUUAGAAAAUAAAUAUAAUU